GACGAACGCUGGCGGCGUGCUUAACACAUGCAAGUCGAACGGAAAGGCUCCAGCUUGCUGGAGUACUCGAGUGGCGAACGGGUGAGUAACACGUGGGUAAUCUGCCCUGCACUCUGGGAUAAGCCUGGGAAACUGGGUCAAAUACUGGAUAUGACCUUUCUCCUUAUGGGGUUUGGUGGAAAGUUUUUCGGUGUAGGAUGAGCCCGCGGCCUAUCAGCUUGUUGGUGGGGUGAUGGCCUACCAAGGCGACGACGGGUAGCCGGCCUGAGAGGGUGAUCGGCCACAUUGGGACUGAGAUACGGCCCAGACUCCUACGGGAGGCAGCAGUGGGGAAUAUUGCACAAUGGGCGGAAGCCUGAUGCAGCGACGCCGCGUGAGGGAUGACGGCCUUCGGGUUGUAAACCUCUUUCAGCAGGGACGAAGCGUAAGUGACGGUACCUGCAGAAGAAGCACCGGCUAACUAUGUG
rnacentral:rRNA from 1 species